rnacentral:rRNA from 1 species
AUUGAACGCUGGCGGCAUGCUUUACACAUGCAAGUCGAACGGCAGCGCGGGCUUCGGCCUGGCGGCGAGUGGCGAACGGGUGAGUAAUAUAUCGGAACGUACCCAGAAGUGGGGGAUAACGUAGCGAAAGUUACGCUAAUACCGCAUACGAUCUACGGAUGAAAGCAGGGGAUCGCAAGACCUUGUGCUUUUGGAGCGGCCGAUAUCUGAUUAGCUAGUUGGUGAGGUAAAGGCUCACCAAGGCGACGAUCAGUAGCUGGUCUGAGAGGACGACCAGCCACACUGGAACUGAGACACGGUCCAGACUCCUACGGGAGGCAGCAGUGGGGAAUUUUGGACAAUGGGGGCAACCCUGAUCCAGCAAUGCCGCGUGAGUGAAGAAGGCCUUCGGGUUGUAAAGCUCUUUUGUCAGGGAAGAAACGGGAGUGGCUAAUAUCCAUUCCUAAUGACGGUACCUGAAGAAUAAGCACCGGCUAACUACGUGCCAGCCGCCGCCGUAA